rnacentral:rRNA from 1 species
GACGAACGCUGGCGGCGUGCUUAACACAUGCAAGUGGAGCGACGAACCGGGGCUUGCCCCGGGGCAGAGCCGCGAACGGGUGAGUAACACGUGGGUAACCCACCCCGAUGACCGGGACAACCCGAGGAAACUCGAGCUAAUACCGGAUGUGCUCCUUGACCUUGAGGUCAAGGCGUAAAGAUAGCUUCGGCCUUCGCAUCGGGACGGGCCCGCGGCCCAUUAGCUUGUUGGUGGGGUAAAGGCCCACCAAGGCGACGAUGGUAGCUGGUCUGAGAGGACGAUCAGCCACACUGGGACUGAGACACGGCCCAGACUCCUACGGGAGGCAGCAGUGGGGAAUCUUGCGCAAUGCGCGAAAGCGUGACGCAGCAACGCCGCGUGGGGAA